rnacentral:rRNA from 1 species
CCUACGGUGCGCUGCAGUCGAGAAUCAUUCACAAUGGGGGAAACCCUGAUGGUGCGACGCCGCGUGGGGGAAUGAAGGUCUUCGGAUUGUAAACCCCUGUCAUGUGGGAGCAAAUUAAAAAGAUAGUACCACAAGAGGAAGAGACGGCUAACUCUGUGCCAGCCGCCGCGGUAAUACAGAGGUCUCAAGCGUUGUUCGGAAUCACGGGGCGUAAAGCGUGCGUAGGCUGUUUCGUAAGUCGUGUGUGAAAGGCGCGGGCUCAACCCGCGGACGGCACAUGAUACUGCGAGACUAGAGUAAUGGAGGGGGACGCGGAAUUCUCGGUGUAGCAGUGAAAUGCGUAGAUAUCGAGAGGAACACUCGUGGCGAAGGCGGGUUCCUGGACAUUCACUGACGCUGAGGCACGAAGGCCAGGGGAGCGAAAGGGAUUAGAUACCCUAGUAGUC